AAAGACUUGGUCAUAUCUUGAGACUUGAAUGAAAUUAAACUAUAUGUUGGAACAAAAUUAAACCUAACACCCAAAAUAUCUAUUUCAUAGUAUCAUCUAGUUAAUAUUUAAUCUAGUUAUAUAGUUUGAGUUAGCGGGUUUUUAAGACCUCUCAAUAGAGUUUCUCACAGUUAAAAAAAGUAAAAAUAAUAAAAAGGAAAGAGAGAGUGUAGAAAAUUUCUGAAACUCUUAGAUACUCUCUACAUCCCAUCAUGACAUUUUUCUCUUUUAUAUUGGUUCAAUUUUUUCAUUAAAAUAAAUUUUUUUAUCGUAUAAUCAAAUUAUAAUUAAAUU
rnacentral:sRNA from 1 species